rnacentral:rRNA from 1 species
UUUACACACCGCCCGUCGCUACUACCGAUUGAAUGGCUCAGUGAGGCUUUCGGACUGGCCCAGAGAGGUGGGCAACUACCACUCAGGGCCGGAAAGUUAUCCAAACUCGGUCAUUUAGAGGAAGUAAAAGUCGUAACAAGGUCUCCGUUGGUGAACCAGCGGAGGGAUCAUUA